GCUUACGGCCAUACCACCCUGAAAAAUGCCCGAUCUCAUCUGAACUCGGAAGUAAAGCAGGGUCGGGCCUGGUUAGUACUUGGAUGGGAGACCGCCUGGGAAUACCAGGUGCUGUAAGCU
rfam:Danio rerio chromosome 4, GRCz11 reference primary assembly.